rnacentral:rRNA from 1 species
UACGUAGGGUGCAAGCGUUGUCCGGAAUUAUUGGGCGUAAAGAGCUCGUAGGCGGUCUGUCACGUCGGCUGUGAAAUCCCGAGGCUCAACCUCGGGUCUGCAGUCGAUACGGGCAAACUAGAGUAUUGCAGGGGAGACUGGAAUUCCUGGUGUAGCGGUGAAAUGCGUAGAUAUCAAGAGGAACACCUGCGGCGAAGGCGGGUUGCUGGGCUGACACUGACGCUGAGGCGCGAAAGCGUGGGGAGCGAACAGG